GGAAAGAUCGUAGCUCAGUGGUAGAGCAUCUGCUGUGUGUGCAGAAGGUCUCAGGUUCUAUCUUUGGCAUCUCCA